rnacentral:lncRNA from 1 species
GAAGAUUUUGGGAUGGUAAUGGAUCAAUUGAUUGAGAUGUAAUGCAUUGUAAAUGAGCAGUACCCCUUGGGACCAUUUAAUAUAAUACUACACUUUUAUUUUUUUAAAAAAAUUGUUUAGUACCGGAAAGUGCUUGAUGCACCACAUUGUUUCCAGUCAUUGUCACUCCUUACUAAAAAUUCUUUUACCUUCUAUAGAAGAAUUGUUCACCUAAUAUCCUUCAUUAUUAAUGUUGUUAUAGUGAUUAGAAGAUCACACAUGAGCCACACAUGAUGUAGAACGAAUUACGAACU